GAUUCUGGCUCAGGAUGAACGCUGGCGGCGUGCUUAACACACGCAAGUCGAACGGGAAUUACUUUAUUGAAACUUCGGUCGAUAUGAUUUAAUUCUAGUGGCGGACGGGUGAGUAACGCGUGGGUAACCGUGCCUUAUACAGGGGGAGUAACAGUCAGAAAUAGACUGCUAAUACCGCAUAAGCGCACAGAGCUGCAUGGCUCAGUGCGAAAAACUCCGGUGGUAUAAGAUGGACCCGCGUUGGA
rnacentral:rRNA from 1 species